CGAACGCUGCGGGGUUUGUCAGGUUCAUUAAAUCCCUGGGGCCAAUAUCCUUCUAUAGGGAACUGUCCCUGCCGAGCUCGUGGGCUCGGUAUAUGGUGCCCACCUGCACACGCAGGCCACAGAGGAACAACGAGCCAACGGCUUUCGCGGCGCCGCC
rnacentral:other from 1 species